AUGAUCACCGAGUUUACAACUCCCAAACCCACUGUGAACUUAUACCCAAAACGUUGCCUCGGCGGGCACAGCGGUACGCGAGCCUCCUGCAAGUGAGGCAGAUGCGCCCGCCCUCCAGGGGACCAAAACUUUUCUGUAUAUCCAUAGCGGCAUGUUUGAGUGGAUUUAAAAACAAAUGAAUCAAAACUUUCAACAACGGAUCUCUUGGUUCUGGCAUCGAUGAAGAACGCAGCGAAAUGCGAUACGUAAUGUGAAUUGCAGAAUUCAGUGAAUCAUCGAAUCUUUGAACGCACAUUGCGCCCGCCAGUAUUCUGGCGGGCAUGCCUGUUCGAGCGUCAUUUCAACCCUCAAGCCCUGCUUGGUGUUGGGGACCGGCUCAGCGGGUGCGGGCUUCGGCCCGCCCCGUGCCGCCCCCGAAAUGGAUCGGCGGUCUCGUCGCAGCCUUCUUUGCGUAGUAACAUACCACCUCGCAACAGGAGCGCGGCGCGGCCACUGCCGUAAAACGCCCAACUUUUUUAGAGUUGACCUCGAAUCAGGUAGGAAUACCCGCUGAACUUAA
rnacentral:rRNA from 1 species